AACCCUUAUCCCCAGUUGCCAUCAGGUAAAGCUGGGAACUCUGGGGAGACUGCCGGUGAUAAACCGGAGGAAGGCGGGGAUGACGUCAAGUCCUCAUGGCCCUUACAUCCCGGGCUACACACGUGCUACAAUGGCAGGUACAGAGGGCUGCGAAGCCGCGAGGUGGAGCGAAUCCCAGAAAACCUGUCUCAGUCCGGAUUGAAGUCUGCAACUCGACUUCAUGAAGGCGGAAUCGCUAGUAACCGCGAAUCAGCAGGUCGCGGUGAAUACGUUCCCGGGCCUU
rnacentral:rRNA from 1 species